GACGAACGCUGGCGGCGUGCUUAACACAUGCAAGUCGAACGGAAAGGCCCUGAUUUUGUGGGGUGCUCGAGUGGCGAACGGGUGAGUAACACGUGAGUAACCUGCCCUUGACUUUGGGAUAACUUUAGGAAAAUGGGGCUAAUACCGGAUAGGAGCUCCUGCUGCAUGGUGGGGGUUGGAAAGUUUCGGCGGUUGGGGAUGGACUCGCGGCUUAUCAGCUUGUUGGUGGGGUAGUGGCUGACCAAGGCUUUGACGGGUAGCCGGCCUGAGAGGGUGACCGGCGUCAAGGGGACUGAGGGAGGGCGCAGAAGGGUACGGGAGGCAGCAGGGGAGAAUAUGACACAAUGGGCGGAAGCCUGAUGCGACAACGUCGGGAUCGUGAUGACGGCCUACGGGUUGUAAACCGCUGUCGCCUGUGACGAAGAGUGAGUGACGGUAAUGGAUAAAGAAGCACCGGCUAACUACGUG
rnacentral:rRNA from 1 species